GGGCAAAAUUUCUCUGGAUACAAACAAACAAUCGAUUUAUUUCUCUUUUUUCUACUGUUUCACCUAAAUCCAACCACUCUCUCGAUUUGGUUCUUCGAGUGCUUAUUUGUUCUCUGUAUAGCUCCCUAUUUCUCCGAUUUUCUUCCCUGAUGUGCGUGUGUGCAUGCUGGUUACUAUGUGUGCACGUCUCCUUGUGUGUGUUCGAUUUUGUGAGGUGAAGAAGAUGAUCCCCUCCCCGUAAAUGGUAAAAUAGAGGAAUAUAUAUGUGUUGUUGUGUAUGUUUUCAGUCCGUGUAUGUGAGUUAAUGGCGAGGGUGAUCUGUUGGUGAUGGUGUGAUAUGAGGGUGUGUGAAUAUUUGUAAGGCAGCCUUCUUCUUUAUGUAUGUGGUACAAGCGACCAAAAUAUACUGCAAACGUAAAAAAAAU
rnacentral:lncRNA from 1 species